CGGGCGGGGGUCCACAGUGCUCCUCCUCACCCUGCUUCUCCAUUGGGCUGCCCAACCCAGGACGACUGAGAAUUUUCUCUAUAACAGGCCCUGAGCUCCUUGUUUUGCAAGUAGGAAAUUCUCCUUCAUAAGAGGACUACUGUUUGUAUUGUUUGUUUUUUAAUUUCCAAAAACGAGGAAAAGUUUAUAAAAUCGGGACAGGCUGGGAGGAAGAGGCAAGAGGGGGAAAGGACACUGGAGGUGGCUGACCCCAGCUUUUCCCAAGUCUCGCCUUGGCCUCUCCCUGUCCCCCUUCUCCCAGGCCCCCCUCCUCUCGGUUCUGAACGUGAAAAAUAAGCAGGCUGAGCCGCCUCGACUGGAGAUGUGUCUAACAAGGCCCUCAUUGUCUCAGACAGGUGUGAGAUUGGACUUGAUUCGGGGCCAACACCUCCAGUCCGGAGCCAACUCUGUGAGCUGAAAGCAUGCACCAGCCCUCCAGUAAUACCACUGCAGCCAGCCAGAGACUCAACAAUUUAAGGCUUAACACACACAACAUAAAUCAGAGGAGGAUGGACCAGCCGGCCGGCAGCUUCUUGGGCAGGUGCCUGCAGACUGUCUGCAGAUGUGUUUUUAAGCUGCCUGAAGCAGGGAGGAAUUGGCGCAGCUCAGGCGCUCUGAAUUUUGGAUCUGGUCUAGGAGUAACUCGGGUUAAACACAUAAAGCCGUAGGGUAAAGAGGACCCUUCUCAUAAUGGAAACCAGCAAUUUAUGGAGCAAGGAGGCUGUUAUUGUCUCAGUUGAGUGAACCGCUGUCACCCAAGGUAGCAGGGACCAAAAGAGUUUCCCAGGAGAGGUUCUGCUUCUACAACACCAGUGGGGUCAUUCCCAAGCCCCAGAGCUGAAGGAUCCUAGAGUAUCUGCCUGCAUAUUCCCAGAAGGACGUGGCUGGACGAUUAUGCUGACUUAUGGAGCCUCAGAUUCAAUGAGCCAGUUCAGACUGUGAGGAAGAACCAAGAUGGAGAAAGUGCCAUCAGCUCAUUCCUGUGUGCUUUCAAGCUCAGGUCUUACGUCACUCUGUUAGGGGAUAGGGCAUGCACAGGUUCCUUUUGUCUACCCUCAUUCCCCAUGACUGGAAAGCAGCAGAUUCAUUUUUAAGAAGGGGAGUCACCUCUGCAGGGGGUAGUUAACUGGUGUGAUGUGAUCCACAGACAUCAGAAUUGGAAGAUGACUUUCUAGAUCUUGCAGCCGUAUCUGGGUAGUCCUAAACCUUACACACACCCUUGAGAUGGAAUGAAAUAAUAACAGUGAGGAUGCCCUGGACUGUGGUCCUUUAGCCUGCAUCUGGGAAGACAGCCUUUCCUGUCCAUGGCUCACACAGCCGCAUAGUACCAUGGUUGUUUCCUCUCGAAAAUGCUUAUAUUUUUUAAAACAGUAGAUGUUCUGUUUCUUGCUACUUCAGAGAGCCUGGACAGGCUGGACAGGCUAAAACUCCACCUGAAGACUUUCCACAGCUUGCUAAUCCGAAACCAACAGAAUAUGAAUUGGUCCCCUGCACACCCCAUUCUAAGGAGUGCACAAAAAAAUAAACAUGAUUGGCCAAUA